AAUUCAGGAUGAUGAUGAUGAUGAUGAUGACGACGAUGAUGAUGGUGAUGAUGAGCUCCAGCAUCAUCAUUAUCAUCAACAGCAUCACUACCAUCA
rnacentral:pre_miRNA from 1 species